UAGGGAAUAUUCCACAAUGAGCGAAAGCUUGAUGGAGCGACACAGCGUGCACGAUGAAGGUCUUAUGGAUUGUAAAGUGCUGUUGCAAGGGAAGAAAAAGUAGUUGAGGAAAUGCUUCUACAUUGACGGUACCUUGUUAGAAAGCGAUGGCUAACUAUGUGCCAGCAGCCGCGGUAAUACAUAGGUCGCAAGCGUUAUCCGGAAUUAUUGGGCGUAAAGCGUUCGUAGGCUGUUUAUUAAGUCUGGAGUCAAAUCCCAGGGCUCAACCCUGGCUCGCUUUGGAUACUGGUAAACUAGAGUUGGAUAGAGGUAAGCGGAAUUCCAUGUGAAGCGGUGAAAUGCGUAGAUAUAUGGAAGAACACCAAAGGCGAAGGCAGCUUACUGGGUUUAUACUGACGCUGAGGAACGAAAGCGUGGGGAGCAAACA
rnacentral:rRNA from 1 species